GUAUAAUGGGUCAGCGACUUAUAUUCUGUAGCAAGGUUAACCGUAUAGGGGAGCCGAAGGGAAACCGAGUCUUAACCGGGCGUUAAGUUGCAGGGUAUAGACCCGAAACCCGGUGAUCUAGCCAUGGGCAGGUUGAAGGUUGGGUAACACUAACUGGAGGACCGAACCGACUAAUGUUGAAAAAUUAGCGGAUGACCUGUGGCUGGGGGUGAAAGGCCAAUCAAACCGGGAGAUAGCUGGUUCUCCCCGAAAGCUAUUUAGGUAGCGCCUCGUGAAUUCAUCUCCGGGGGUAGAGCACUGUUUCGGCUAGGGGGCCAUCCCGGCUUACCAACCCGAUGCAAACUGCGAAUACCGGAGAAUGUUAUCACGGGAGACACACGGCGGGUGCUAACGUCCGUCGUGAAGAGGGAAACAACCCAGACCGCCAGCUAAGGUCCCAAAGUCAUGGUUAAGUGGGAAACGAUGUGGGAAGGCCCAGACAGCCAGGAUGUUGGCUUAGAAGCAGCCAUCAUUUAAAGAAAGCGUAAUAGCUCACUGGUCGAGUCGGCCUGCGCGGAAGAUGUAACGGGGCUAAACCAU
rnacentral:rRNA from 1 species